rnacentral:lncRNA from 1 species
UAUGAUUCUCGAAUAAUGAUCCCAAACACCGGAUUUAUUCGAUUUUCUUUUAUAAGGACGAGAACUAGAUACUUUGUUUGCUGUGGAUGCGUCUUCUUCUUCUUCACCUCCAUGGCCUGGCCAUUCCAUGAUCGGAGUCAUCACAUCAUCUCCACCCACUUCCAUUUGACACGUUAUCUUGAUGCAUCAAGUUCACAUCAAGAUAACGCUAGCACAAUAUAAUUCGUAAUUGUAAAAUAAAAAACGAACAUUUGUGCUUGACGAAGUAACCAACACAAAGAACAAGCAUCAAAGUUUUACAAUAAAUGCGAUGUGUUUAGCAUUAGGAUCUGUCUAAGAAAAACCGCUAAUACAAGUCCUUAUUAUAUAGUUCUCACAAAUACAAAGACAUCAAGCAAGCACACAUCUUUCCAAACAAACCUUACUCUAGCUGGAUUGUUCUCGCGAAGUUUAUAUUCCAAGCGACAUACAACCUACUAUGCUUAUCAGUGCCAGUCUUAUGUUAAAGCCCAUGACAACUCUCAAAACUAUGCUUAAAAAAGAACUGGUUAAUCUUGAUUUCAUUGAACUUCCAUGAAGCCACCUGUAAUGCAACAAAUUAACAUGGACUUCAAGAUAUAAUAGAUGCAGUAGUUCCACAUAAACUCCAAUAGUCAAUUAUGAGAUCUUUCCCUGAGCAGCUUGUUUUAUCCAACCGGAUUUACGACCCCAGAAGCUUUAGGAGGUUAUCAGUUUGUCAGUUAUUCAGUAUUUUUGGCCUUACGACCUCGUGAUCACCACAAGUUACAGAAUUCGAACUUGCAGGAUUCAAUUUGUUAAGUAGCAAGCAAACAAGCUUACAUAAACCAAUUCUAUGCACGUAUGGCCAAGGCAACAAACAAAUCAAAAUCAUAGCACACCAAAAUGGAAACAUUCGAUGAAGAUAUCGAAAACGAAAUUGACCCAGAGAGACAGAGAGAGUACCUGGCUAUGGCUAGGCCCCGAGCCGCGAGAUCAAGAGAGAGACGAGACAGUGUCGAUGAGACUCGAGGGCACCGCCGGAGAGACUUGAGAGACGAGUCAGAGAGAGAGUGAAAGAGAGGGGGGGGGGGGGGGGGGGGGGGGGGGGUUAGAGAGAGAGAGCAGCCGCAGACUGUGAGAAGUGAGAAGUGAGAAAACGGAGAACGAAGUGAGAAGAGAACUGACUGCCGAGAGAUAUUCUAGACCUGGUAGGCCCUUUCAAAAACCAAGUUUCCGAGUAGAACCAACAGUUCAGACUAAAGAAACUGGCAACCAAAGCAAUUCCUGUUGCGAACUGGCCGGAUAAGGCCGGGGUUCGGGUAGGUUCCUGGAUCGAAUAGGC